AGGGUGUUUCUGUUGGUUGGGGGCUUUCAUCAAGGUUAGUGUUUCUGUAGGUUGGGGGCUUUCAUCAAGGUUAGUGUUUCUGUAGGUUGGGGGCUUUCAUCAAGGUUAGUGUUUCUGUAGGUUGGGGGCUUUCAUCAAGGUUAGUGUUUCUAUAGGUUGGGGGGCUUUCAUCAAGGUUAGUGUUUCUAAAGGUUGGGGGCUUUCAUCAAGGUUAGUGUUUCUAUAGGUUGGGGGGCUUUCAUCAAGGUUAGUGUUUCUAUAGGUUGGGGGCUUUCAUCAAGGUUAGUGUUUCUGUAGGUUGGGGGCUUUCAUCAAGGUUAGUGUUUCUGUAGGUUGGGGGCUUUCAUCAAGGUUAGUGUUUCUUUAGGUUGGGGGCUUUCAUCAAGGUUAGUGUUUCUUUAGGUUGGGAGCUUUC